rnacentral:rRNA from 1 species
UACAGAGGGUGCAAGCGUUAAUCGGAAUUACUGGGCGUAAAGCGUGCGUAGACGGUUAUGUAAGUCGGGUGUGAAAGCCCCGGGCUCAACCUGGGAAUUGCAUUUGAGACUGCGUAGCUAGGGUGCGGAAGAGGGAAGCGGAAUUUCCGGUGUAGCGGUGAAAUGCGUAGAUAUCGGAAGGAACACCAGUGGCGAAAGCGGCUUCCUGGUCCAGCACCGACGUUCAGGCACGAAAGCGUGGGGAGCAAACAGG